rnacentral:rRNA from 1 species
UUUCUCCUACGGGAGGCAGCAGUGGGGAAUAUUGCACAAUGGGCGCAAGCCUGAUGGAGCAACGCCGCGUGAGUGAAGAAGGUUUUCGGACCGUAAAACUCUGUUGUCAGAGAAGAACACGUUGGAGAGUAACUGCUCCAGCCUUGACGGUAUCUGACCAGAAAGCCACGGCUAACUACGUGCCAGCAGCCGCGGUAAUAAU